UUCUCCAUUGAAGCUGGAUUGAAUAGCAGGUCCCGGUUGAUAAAGUUUGGUUUAUAGAAGUGGUUGGCUUCGGCCGGCUGCUUUCCCCUAGCCAGGCGUAUUACCAUGAGCAAAUCAGAAUGCUCAAAGUAGGCCUACCGCCUGAAUGUGUUAGCAUGGAAUAAUAAAAUAGGACUCGAGUCUUGUUUUGUUGGUUUCUUGACAUUGAGAAAUGAUGAAUAGGAACGGUUGGGGGCAUUUGUAUUUGGCCGCUAGAGUGAAAUUCUUGGAUUGGCCGAAGACAAACUACUGCGAAAGCAUUUGACCCAGGACGUUUCAUUGAUCAGGGACUAAAGUUGAGGGAUCGAAGACGAUUAGAUACCGUCGUAGUCUUACCACAAACUAUGCCGACUAGCGAUUGGGCCUUGACCUUUGGUCAGGUUCAGCAGCUUAGGAAAGUAAAGUCUUUGGGUUCUGGGGGGAGUAUGGGACGCAAGGCUGAAACUUAAAGGAUUGACGGAAGGGCACCACCAGGAGUGGAGCCUGCGGCUUAAUUUGACUCAACACGGGGAACUCACCAGGUCCAGACAUAAGAAGGAUUGACAGAUUGAAAGCUCUUUCUAGAUUUUAUGGUGGUGGUGCAUGGCCGUCUUAAUUCCGUGGAAGUGGAUUUGGCUGGUUAAUUCCGAUCCAAACGAAACCCUAAUUUGCUANCUAGCUUGGGCCAACUUUUUAAUUGGUAACAUGGUCCCUCGGGUGCCCCAGCUUUUUAGAGAGACUCCUGGAUUCAAUU
rnacentral:rRNA from 1 species